CUACCACUACUGCCAGCACUAGCUGGUGCCAGACCUGGUCCUCCUCCACCACCUCCAGCCUCAGUUGGUGCCAAACCUGGUCCUCCACCACCACCCCCAGGACCAGCUGGUGCCAAACCUGGUCCACCUCCUCCACCACCCCCAGCUGGUGCCAAACCUGGUUCUCGUCCACCACCACCUCCUCCUAUGAGUGGUGUGGCUCCUCCUCGACCUCCGCCCCCGUUUGGUUCAAAGGUGCAACGUCC
rnacentral:lncRNA from 1 species